rnacentral:rRNA from 1 species
UUUUAAUAAAAAUAAUUUGUUUUUUAGUAAUUAUUUAGUGAAUUAAAAUAUUAUAGCAUUAGUUAAUAGUACUGUUAAGGAUUAAUUAUUUAUUUAGUUUAAGUAAAUUUUAUUUGUUGUACCUUUUGUAUCAGGGUUUAUUUAAUUUUAAUUAAUUAGUUAUUAAUUUUCCCGAAAUUAGAAGAGAUAUUAUAUAAUGAAUUUUAGUGUUUUAUAACUAUUUUUAAUUAUAUAAUAGGGAUUAUAUAUUAUUCGUUUUUAAUUAUCUGGUUAUUUAAUAAAUGAAUUUAAUUCAGACAAAUAUUUGUUAAAUAAUAAUUGUAUUUUUAUUAAUAAUAUUUGUUAAUAUUAUAGGGGAUAAGCUCUUUAAUAAUAUCAUAAUUAUUUUUGUUAUUUGAAUUUUUAUAGGCUUGAUAACAGCUAUUUAUAUUUCGUUAUAGUUAAUUUUCAUUAAUUUUUAAUUUAUUUUAAUUUGAAUUUUUAUUAAAUUUUAUAAUUUAAUUUUUUAUUUUUAGUAAUAAUGAUAGAAUUAGUAGUAUUAAAAAUUUAGAUAUAGUAACUCGGCAAUUCUAAUUUUCGCCUGUUUAACAAAAACAUGUCCUAUAGAUUUAUAAUUUUAGGUCUAACCUGCCCAAUGAUAUAUUUAAUGGCUGCAGUAUUUUAACUGUACAAAGGUAGCAUAAUCAUUUGUCUUUUUAUUGAAGGCUAGAAUGAAUGGUUGGACGAAAAAUUGGCUUUCUUUAUUUAAUUUUUAUGAAUUUAAUUUUUUAGUUAAAAAGCUUAAAUUUUUUUGCAAGACGAGAAGACCCUAUAGAAUUUUAUUAUUUUAUUAUUAUUAUUUAUUUAGAUUUUAAUAAAUUUUUAAUAUAAAAAUAAUUUUAUUGGGGCGAUAGUAAGAUUUAUUUAACUCUUAUAAAUAAUUAAUCAUUAAUUUAUGUAUUUUGUGAUCCUUUAUUAUGGAUUUUUAGAUUAAAUUACCUUAGGGAUAACAGCGUAAUUCUUUUGGAGAGUUCUUAUCGAUGAAGGAGUUUGCGACCUCGAUGUUGGAUUAAAAUUAAAGUUGGGUGCAGAAGCUCAAUUUUUAAGUCUGUUCGACUUUUAAUUUUUUACAUGAUCUGAGUUCAGACCGGCGUGAGCCAGGUUGGUUUCUAUCUGCAAUUUUAAGUUUAUAUUUUAGUACGAAAGGACCAAUUAUA